CCGACCGCACACGCGUGCGCCCGCGGCAUCGUCGAAACCUUGUUUUAAAGUGUGCGUAAAACUUUCUCCGUUUGAGCUGAAACUUGGUGUGCAGUAUUAAUUUAGUGUAGGUUGGCCGUCCGUCAAAUUUUAUCGCGAUCGGACCUCGUUUGUCACACGUGCUGUUUAUGAUAUAGCGGCACUAUAGCCGGUCAAUUGUCGGACGUUUCGGUAUUUUUAAACUCUGUCACCGGGUUGCCCGUUAUUCCCUUGUCAUCUCCGCUUAGCGCCUCUGCUCAGUGCACCGCCCCUACGCGCAUCCCAGUCCGAAACCUCCCGGCGCCCGAAACACACGGUUGUGACCGUUGGAUCCGGUUCAACCCCGUAAUACCGCAAACCAUCAUCGGUUUGUCCAUUGGACUCCCUAACCUAGUUAUUCUCGACCGUCUGAUCUGCAUCGGAGGGUCCUGAUAGUCUAGCCCAAUGCAAUAUCUUUGUAUAAAAGAGGUUCAACCCUAAUUCCUAGGGAUCUUGUCCCAUCACCGCCGCCGCCGCCACUCCUGUUUCCUCGGGAUCUCGUUCCCCUGCCCAACCAGCAAGAAGCAUGCCCCGAUGCCACCUUCUACUCUGCGUGUUGAACGCGUCCAGGAGCCGGCAGAUGCCAGAGUCCGUCACCGCAGCUGAGCCGCCCCAUGGGGCCUUGAUCCAAUAACUGGAGCAUCCAUAGCCCCCUCGUCGUCCGAGCCAAGCCAACCCCGCUACCGUUCCGGUCGCUGCUACCUCGGCCAGGAGCGCCCCCAUGUCCAGAGCUGCUUCGUACACGCGCCCGGCGCCAGCAACAGCAACAGCAGUCCCAACCCCAGCCGGCGCUUCCGAUCUAGAACGGGGGCAGCAAGCUCUUGAGGCCAGCCUCGCCGGCAGCACCACGCCCA